rnacentral:rRNA from 1 species
AUUGAACGCUGGCGGCAGGCCUAACACAUGCAAGUCGCGCGAGCGGCGGACGGGUGAGUAAUGUCUGGGAAACUGCCUGAUGGAGGGGGAUAACUACUGGAAACGGUAGCUAAUACCGCAUACCAUCAGAUUUGCCCAGAUGGGAUUAGCUCGUAGGUGGGGUAACGGCUCACGUAGGCGCCGCUCCCUAGCUGGUCUGAGAGGAUGACCAGUCACACUGGAACUGAGACACGGCCCAGACGCCUACGGGAGGAAGCAGUGGGGAAUAUUGCACAAUGGUCGCAAGCCUGAUGCAGCCAUGCCGCGUGUGUGAAGAAGGCCUUCGGGUUGUAAAGUACUUUCAGCGGGGAGGCGUUACCCGCAGAAGAAGCACCGGCUAACUCCGUGCCAGCAGCCGCGGUAAUUC